AUAGCUUGUUGUCUAUAACAAUUCCCAAGUCCUUUUCAUGUGUUGUUAUCCCUACUUCGCUUCCAUUAAGGGUAUACGUUGCUUGUGUAUUCUUUAUGCCGAAGUGCAUAACUUUGCAUUUUUCAACAUUACAUUUCAUCUGCCAUUUGUCCCCCAGUCUAUCUAAGUCCCUCUGCAGCAAAGUAAUAUCUUGCUCACAUUGUAUUGUUUUACAA